GACGAACGCUGGCGGCGUGCCUAAUACAUGCAAGUAGAACGCUGAAGGAGGAGCUUGCUUCUCUGGAUGAGUUGCGAACGGGUGAGUAACGCGUAGGUAACCUGCCUGGUAGCGGGGGAUAACUAUUGGAAACGAUAGCUAAUACCGCAUAAGAGUAGAUGUCGCAUGACAUUUGCUUAAAAGGUGCAAUUGCAUCACUACCAGAUGGACCUGCGUUGUAUUAGCUAGUUGGUGAGGUAACGGCUCACCAAGGCAACGAUACAUAGCCGACCUGAGAGGGUGAUCGGCCACACUGGGACUGAGACACGGCCCAGACUCCUCCGGGAGGCAGCAGUAGGGAAUCUUCGGCAAUGGACGGAAGUCUGACCGAGCAACGCCGCGUGAGUGAAGAAGGUUUUCGGAUCGUAAAGCUCUGUUGUAAGAGAAGAACGAGUGUGAGAGUGGAAAGUUCACACUGUGACGGUAUCUUACCAGAAAGGGACGGCUAACUACGUG
rnacentral:rRNA from 1 species